rnacentral:rRNA from 1 species
ACGAACGCUGGCGGCGUGCCUAAUACAUGCAAGUCGAACGAGUGACCCCUCGGUGGCAACACCUUGGGUGAUCUAGUGGCGAACGGGUGAGUAACACGUGAGGAACCUGCCCCGAAGACCGGGAUAACCAGAGGAAACCCUGGCUAAUACCGGAUGCCCCCACCGGACCGCAUGAUCUGGUGAGGAAAUGGAUUCCGCUUCGGGAGGGCCUCGCGGCCUAUCAGCUUGUUGGUGGGGUAACGGCCCACCAAGGCGUCGACGGGUAGCUGGUCUGAGAGGACGAUCAGCCACACUGGGACUGAGACACGGCCCAGACUCCUACGGGAGGCAGCAGUAGGGAAUCUUGCGCAAUGGGCGAAAGCCUGACGCAGCAACGCCGCGUGCGGGAUGAAGGCCUUCGGGUUGUAAACCGCUUUCAGCAGGGACGAAAAUGACGGUACCUGCAGAAGAAGCCCCGGCCAACUACGUGCCAGCAGCCGCCGUAACAC